rnacentral:pre_miRNA from 1 species
UGUUGGCAUGGUUCAAUCAAAUUAAAGCUCUCAUUAAUGGCUGGAGAUAUUCAUGUUGAGUUCUUUUAGUCUGAUUGAGCCGUGCCAAUAUC